UACGGAGGGGACUAGCGUUGUUCGGAAUCACUGGGCGUAAAGGGCGCGUAGGCGGCUUUAUAAGUCGGGGGUGAAAGCCUGUGGCUCAACCACAGAAUUGCCUUCGAUACUGUAGAGCUUGAGACCGGAAGAGGUAAGUGGAACUGCGAGUGUAGAGGUGAAAUUCGUAGAUAUUCGCAAGAACACCAGUGGCGAAGGCGGACUUACUGGUCCGGUUCUGGACGCUGAGGCGGCGAAAGCGUGGGGAGCAAACAGG
rnacentral:rRNA from 1 species